UGAUGACCCCGGUCACAUGUAUCUUCCGAUGACAUCAGAGGAUCGGUUCCAUUUCAUCUUCUCUUCGCAGGCAACUGCACGCCACUGCGCUAGCUAAAGCUAAGUGGCUAUUCCUUCGUUACCGGUAGCCUUGCGACGUGAGGUUUGUGGUUUGCCGCGGACACAUCUGCAUCGACUUAUCAUCGUCAGUUAGAUAAGUUUAUUUUGUUUUCCUAUUACACAUUCUUAAGUUUGUUUUGUUGGUGAAGGUAGUGUCCUUGCUCGCUCUCCCGGCAUAAUAUUGUGUGAAUCAGCUGUUGGCAUUGCGUGCACUUGCCAUAAGUGUUGGCUAUCGGUGCAACCUUCUUUGCAUCCGUUUUGUCUUGUUGUUCAUUUGUUGGUGAAGGCAGCGGCCUCGCUCCCUCUCCCAGCGUUUGUAACGCUAUUGUUUUGUCAGUCAGCUGUUGGCAUUGCGUGUGCUUGCUUUUGACUAUCGGUGCAACCUUUUGCACUCGUUUUGUGUUGAAUUUCCAUUUGUUGGUGACGAUAGUGAUCCCGCUCCCUCUCCCGGCAUUUGUAUUGCACUUGCUAUUUUCAGGUCAUUCAUGUGCAUUAGCGGUUAGCCUUUUUGGCCAUUUGCCUUUCUAUUGAACGGUGCACCGUGGGGCUAUUUGUUUUUCGCAGUACUUGGUUGGUGAUGGCGGUGUGUGCGCUCCAGUCAUGGCAAGUACUUCAGUAUAAUUUUCAGGUAAUUUGUACUUUUAGAAGUAUUUCUUUUUCUGACAACCAACUCGGUAAAAUUUUAACGCAAAUAUCAGUACUUUUUACUCUUUACAUUUCCCUAAAAGGCUCGUUACUUUUUUAUAUAUACACAAUAGUUUUUUUUUUCUUUUUUUAGCGCUGGGACGUAUGCCCGUCACGGCUAGACACGGUAAACCUAUGGCUGCGACGUGCAGCCUGUAGCCUGUGAUCGCGAAAGGCUCCGCUAAAACUUGAAAGAGUCGCGUCAGAGACACACAGGGCUGUCUGCCCGCCAGUAAAUCAGACCUAGGCUCUCGCAUACCACCAACUUCAGCCAGCAACGGCUCAAAAUGAACAAUGGAGAGGAACUUGAGUUGAACGUCGCUUCGAAGAGAUGCUAGCUGAGCCAGCUCAUUGCUGCUGCCAUUCUUGUCCCGAAUUACAGAACACGCUGGACCACUGAUGAAGGCAUCCUUAAAUGUGGCCUCAACUACAUCAACGCCCACCUGAAGGAGCAGAGUAGUGCAGGGCAGUCAGGUAACUCUGUGUCGGUGUCAUCGUCUGAGGAGGACUUCUUUUCGACAGUCAAGCAGACGGAUAAACGGGACGUUUCUGCAUCAUCAGAGAGAAGAACCUACUGAGGCCCUUUGACAGACACUCAUUGUGAUAAAGCUGUGUAUGUCAAGAUGAAGGUUUUUGAGGAAGGACCCAAAUGCAGGACAAGGGAGAUGAGGCCAGUGUUCAAACAAAAAAAAGAAACACAGCAGGAUAAUCAAAAAAACUGAAAGCAUGAAGCAAAAGUAUGGCAGGGAAACAAAAACAUGGAGACAUGAACACAGAUACAAAGACAGUUGACUGUUUCCAGACACCACAGGACACCCUCAGAAGACCCAUGUCCAUGUGUUUUGGAGUCGCAAGGGAGACCUACACAAUAUUAGGAAGGUGGUAAUAAUGUUAUGCCUGAGAAGUGUAUACUAUAACUGUUGAACUGCUUUACAACUGCUAAUGCUGUUACAUAUUUCCAGACAUACUUUUGUCUACUUUCAAUAUUACGUCUAUUUCUUGCAUUUAUAACAUCAGAUCAGAUACUCACUCUGCAAAUGUACAUUCACAAUAAUUUUCUUUUUCACCAUAACUAUAUGAUCCUCAAUAUGACAACCAAAAAAAGUACAUUUAUAAACAAUUGUUGCUAAUGAAGCACGUAGAGGUCUCAUGCUGCGCAUACAUACUGUAAAUACACAACUGUUUCAGAACUGUUAAAAUAGAUCUUAAAAGUAAUGAAAGUUGAUGAAAUAUAUAUCAGCUUAGAUCAAAAUGGUGGACUGUUAAACACAACCUCAAGACAUUUCCUGCCACUUAGUGAUGCUACUGACUCCACUUUCAAAAUAAAUGUGUUGACUGACUUCGUAAAACCAGUUAUGUCCUCUCAAAGGAUGGCAGCAGUGAGGCCAUAUAACAGAGCAAACCUGAUUUAACUGAAGUUUAAGUAACUGCAAGAUUUUUUUUUUUAAAUCUUGCAUUUCUUUAUAAACCACAACUGAAGAACAUUUAGACAUUCACAGGAACUCUUCAGCUGGUUGACAGCUUCAGACCACAAACUUCUUGGUUGCAAUUUACCGGCACCCACUGCUCGACUAUGCACCAUUUGUACUUAACCUUAUUUAGCUUGAGUUAAAAAAAAAAAAAAAAAAAAAGGUGACAGUAACCUGAGAAUAACUAAUACACACAACCUUCACAUACAUAAAGCACACAUUAGAUAAAUAAGAAGACAAAAGACACAUUCAGAAUUCACUUUAAUCUGAAUGCAAAUAAUAAGUGAAGCAACUGGGGAGAUAGAGGACGUUUGUGGCUUGUGGUGUAGCAGCAUGGAGGAUAGAAGACCCUCAGUGUCUGUGCAAACAGACAGCUUAGCUGCUCAUCAUGUAUUUUUGGUUGAUGUAUAAACACAUGUGGGUGGAGAAUUCACACGUCAAGGGAUCCAACCGUAUAAAAUAGUCGACGUUGUACAGAUGCAUCAUCUUCUGCAGGAGUCCGUGAUACAGGUAAAUAUAUGAGCCUUCAGACACAAUUGUUAUGCUUGCCGUAAACAGCACCUCAAUAACUAAUAUGGUUUUAUGUUUCUGUUUUGUUUUUGUUUUUUUGCAGCAACAGCUAAUAACAUAAAAAGAAGUCAUCACUUGCCUCCAGUC